UUCACGUAUCCAGCCCUCUCCUUAUUUCUUCCAACCUCAGAUCGUUACAAAAUGAUGCUUCUGCUACGCCUCCGUUUAGCCGGGAUCAUCAUCGCCACCACCCAAAACUGCGGUUGCUCCCCCGACCUUUGCUGCAGCAGCUGGGGCUACUGCGGCACCGGCAACGACUACUGCGGCGCCGGGUGCCACUCCGGGCCGUGCGAGGCUUCUCCUCGCCCCGACGACGUCCCCGUCGCCCGUAUCGUGACGCAGAGCUUCUUCGACGGGAUCAUCAGCCAGGCCGACAGAGGAUGCGCUGGCAAGAGUUUCUACAAGCGCGACGCCUUCUUGACCGCGGCCAGCUCCUACACGAGUUUCGGCCACGUCGGGACGACCGACGACUCCAAGCGGGAGAUUGCCGCCUUCUUCGCGCACAUCACGCACGAAACCGGGCAUUUCUGCUACAUAGAAGAGAUCGACGGCGCAUCGAGGGACUAUUGCGAUGAGGCCAACACCGAGUACCCAUGUGUCUCGGGGAAGAGCUAUUACGGCCGCGGCCCCAUUCAGCUGUCAUGGAACUAUAACUACGGCGCUGCCGGCGAAAGCAUCGGGUUCGACGGACUCAGAUCACCGGAAACCGUGGCCAUCGAUGUCGUCGUCUCCUUCAAGACUGCAUUAUGGUUUUGGAUGAACACCUGCCACUCGCUCAUAACUUCCGGCCAGGGUUUUGGAGCCACUAUUAGAGCAAUCAAUGGCGAUUUGGAGUGCGAUGGCAAGAACCCGGCGACGGCGAAUGCUCGUGUUGGAUACUACAAGGACUACUGUAGCCAGCUUGGCGUCGACGCCGGCAGUGACCUCACUUGCUGACUGCUUCUCUGGUGCAUCUACACAACACACACACAACGAGCACAAGUAAUCUUGGGAGCAAUCGACACUGUGCAUGGUAUAAAUGGAUAUCUCCAUACUCUGCUUCUGAGAUAUUUGGUGAGAUGUUUUGGACCAUCUAACCAUGUAAGUCUCUGACCUCUUUGAAUAUUAUACAAAUGAAUUGGCAAUGACUAAAAUAGUUUAGAAUAUUCACUGGAGAUAUCGCAAGAAAAGAUUAAUCCAUACAUAACACAGGUCUUAGAGGAAUGAUACUUUGUAAAGUCAAGGUUGUCCUUUGAAUUAAGUAGUUUGUGGUUUGGAGUAUAAAUUGAUUAGAGAAGGGUCCAUUUACAUUUUCUUUUCUUCAUCAUCAGCCAAAGGAAAAUUGCGAUAUGUUUCUUCUUCGAUCUUUUUUGUCUUUUACUCUUUAAUUUUUCCAGUAUCGGUUUUGGAUCUUCGUCUUUAUCCUCCACAUCCAUCCAUGUACACAACCCUGAUUUACCAAAGCAUUCUCCAAACAAUAUUAAUAACAUGUUAGGAUCCUAUGAAAAAUAGCUCUAGGCAAUUGCAAGUGUUCUUCUUCGGCAAAAUCUAUCAUCCAUAAGAUUCUGAAACAACAAAUGUAUCAGACGAUGUGAGAGCCAACUCUUCUAAAAUGGCUCAUGGAUUUCACCCAAGUUCCUCAACCUGGUUUGAAUUUGUCUAGGAAAUCCUAUUAAAAAAAAUUUUUAUCUGUAGCAUGUGAAUCAUCAACCUGUUUGAGUGGUUUGAGAUUAGUAACACAAGACUUGACUGUUGCAGUAACCCAAGCAUGGAAAACUUGAUUUUAGGACUGCAAUAGUAGUCAUUUACCUUCUGAAAGGCAUUCACUACUACACUUGAUUCUUCAGUGAAAUGCUUUGGGAAGGCAUACCACCAAAACUGAGACUUACAUCUUUUUCUUUUUUUUGAGGAUUUUUAUUUGUUAAUUGGUGCUUUCAUGUCAAAGCUUCCUACAAAAGCAGAUCACGACUGCAAAAGCCAAAUCACAACAAUAGAGGGAUGGGAGUCCUGUGUUCCAGUGAUCACAUAUCGGAACUUACCUACUUCAAUGUUUGCAGCAAGCUUCAGUCAGUGGUGCUUAUUUGAGAAGAGUCCUGUUUGGGGAUGAUACUACUGAUUUCACUCUUUUUGCAUGAACUGAGGCAUGAAUGGCUCCUUCCCUAAGAACUAGAAGUCUUUCUGCAAUCUUAACCAUGACAAUACAGCUCCAGUUGAUGAAGUAUUUUACUGUUUCUUUCGUUUUACAUGAACCAAGGAAAGAACUAGUGUUAUAGUGCAACUCCAGUUCGAGAAACAUUUCACCAAUUUCUUUCUUUUUGCAUGAGCAGAGAGAUGAAUGAUUCAACACCUAAACUAGUUUGAGUUGUUGCUAAAAUCUUAGCUAUUGCAAUGACAGCUCCAGCAAGGGAAAUAUUCUACUGGUUUCUUUUA